CCUACGGGUGGCAGCAGUGAGGAAUAUUGGUCAAUGGGCGGGAGACUGAACCAGCCAAGCAGCAUGAAGGAGGAAGGUACUACGAAUUGUAAACUUCUUUUGUAAAGGAAUAAAUACUGGCACGUGUGCCCUUAUGCGUGUACUUGAUGAAUAAGGAUCGGCUAACUCCGUGCCAGCAGCCGCGGUAAUACGGAGGAUUCGAGCGUUAUCCGGAUUUAUUGGGUUUAAAGGGUGCGUAGACGGGUUGUUAAGUCAGACGUGAAAGUUCGGGGCUCAACCCUGAAAUUGCCUUUGAUACUGGCAGUCUUGAGUACAGUUGAGGUAGGCGGAAUGCGUGGUGUAGCGGUGAAAUGCAUAGAUAUCACGAAGAACUCCGAUUGCGAAGGCAGCUUACUAA
rnacentral:rRNA from 1 species